GAUGAACGCUGGCGGCGUGCUUAACACAUGCAAGUCGAACGGAUUCAUAUUGAAACCUAGUGAUAUAUGAAUUAGUGGCGGACGGGUGAGUAACGCGUGGGUAACCUGCCAUACACAGGGGGAUAACAGAGAGAAAUUUCUGCUAAUACCGCAUAAGACCACGGAACCGCAUGGUUCAGGGGUAAAAACUUUAGUGGUGUAUGAUGGACCCGCGUCUGAUUAGCCAGUUGGCAGGGUAACGGCCUACCAAAGCGACGAUCAGUAGCCGGCCUGAGAGGGUGAACGGCCACAUUGGGACUGAGACACGGCCCAAACUCCUACGGGAGGCAGCAGUGGGGGAUAUUGCACAAUGGGGGAAACCCUGAUGCAGCGACGCCGCGUGAGUGAAGAAGUAUUUCGGUAUGUAAAGCUCUAUCAGCAGGGAAGAAAAUGACGGUACCUGACUAAGAAGCCCCGGCUAACUACGUGCCAGCAGCCGCGGUAAUACGUAGGGGGCAAGCGUUAUC
rnacentral:rRNA from 1 species